rnacentral:rRNA from 1 species
GUGAGGAAUAUUGGUCAAUGGGCGGGAGCCUGAACCAGCCAAGUCGCGUGAAGGAAGAAGGAUCUAUGGUUCGUAAACUUCUUUUGCAGGGGAAUAAAGUGCAGGACGUGUCCUGUUUUGUAUGUACCCUGAGAAUAAGGAUCGGCUAACUCCGUGCCAGCAGCCGCGGUAAUACGGAGGAUCCGAGCGUUAUCCGGAUUUAUUGGGUUUAAAGGGUGCGUAGGUGGUUUGAUAAGUCAGCGGUGAAAGUUUGCAGCUUAACUGUAAAAAUGCCGUUGAAACUGUCGGGAUUGAGUGUAAGUGAGGUAUGCGGAAUGCGUGGUGUAGCGGUGAAAUGCAUAGAUAUCACGCAGAACUCCGAUUGCGAAGGCAGCUUACUAAGCUACAACUGACACUGAAGCACGAAAGCGUGAGGAUCAAACAGGAUUAGAAACCCUGGUAGUCC